rnacentral:tRNA from 1 species
GCAUCGGUGGUUUAGUGGUAAAAUUAGCCGUUGCCAUCCGCUUCAGGACAGUUUCGGCUAGCCCCGGGUUCGGUAAGCUUGCACUCUAUCUUCGUGCAUUCGAUUCGUUGUUCUAACAGUUAUUCAGAUUCCCGGCCGAUGCA